UGCGUAGGCGGGGCAAUUAGUCAGUGGUGAAAUCCUGUGGCUUAACCGUAGAACUGCCAUUGAUACUGUUGCCCUUGAGUAUAGUUGAAGUGGGCGGAAUGUGUAAUGUAGCGGUGAAAUGCAUAGAGAUUACACAGAACACCAAUUGCGAAGGCAGCUCACUAAGCUAUAACUGACGCUGAGGCACGAAAGCGUGGGGAGCGAACAGGAUUAGAUACCCUGGUAGUCC
rnacentral:rRNA from 1 species